GGACCCGCACAAGCGGUGGAUGAUGUGGUUUAAUUCGAUGCAACGCGAAAAACCUUACCCACCUUUGACAUGUACGGAAGAUUUAAGAGAUUAGAUUGUGCUCGAAAGAGAACCGUAACACAGGUGCUGCAUGGCUGUCGUCAGCUCGUGUCGUGAGAUGUUGGGUUAAGUCCCGCAACGAGCGCAACCCUUGUCAUUAGUUGCUACAUUUAGUUGGGCACUCUAAUGAGACUGCCGGUGACAAACCGGAGGAAGGUGGGGAUGACGUCAAGUCCUCAUGGCCCUUAUAGGUGGGGCUACACACGUCAUACAAUGGCUGGUACAGAGGGUUGCCAACCCGCGAGGGGGAGCUAAUCCCAUAAAACCAGUCGUAGUCCGGAUCGCAGUCUGCAACUCGACUGCGUGAAGUCGGAAUCGCUAGUAAUCGUGGAUCAGAAUGUCACGGUGAAUACGUUCCCGGGUCUU
rnacentral:rRNA from 1 species